GGCAGCCGCUUGACCAACUGAGCCACCCAGGCGGCCCUGAAGACCCAAAUGUGAACUGGUGGCACAAGGACAGGCGUCCUCGCAUCCCAGACUGUGGUGUUUUCCAUCUGGGGGUCUCCUCUGACACGAGAGGACCCUUCACGCAGGAGGGCCACUAUCACCACCAUCGUCACUGCCAGCGGGCAUU